rnacentral:rRNA from 1 species
GACAGAGGAUGCAAGCAUUAUCCGGAAUGAUUGGGCGUAAAGCGUCUGUAGGUGGCUUUUCAAGUCCGCCGUCAAAUCCCAGGGCUCAACCCUGGACAGGCGGUGGAAACUACCAAGCUGGAGUACGGUAGGGGCAGAGGGAAUUUCCGGUGGAGCGGUGAAAUGCAUUGAGGAUCAGAAAGAACACCAACGGCGAAAGCACUCUGCUGG